rnacentral:rRNA from 1 species
AUGCCACUCUUCCCCGCUCCACUCCGAGCCCUAUUCUCCCCUACCAUCGCCGCCUCCUCCACCUCCGCCCUGCCGCCGCCCCGUCGACCGCCGCUCGCGGGGGCUCUCCUCUUCCUCAGCCUAGGAGCCGUAGCUGGUUGCGCUCUCUCCACCCGCCGCGUCCCCUUCCUCCGGGCAAUAAGUUCUGCUCGAAUGGAGUCUACUUCCACGACCGUGCCUUCCAUUGUUGUCUAUGUGACAGUUCCGAAUCGGGAAGCAGGGAAAAAGCUAUCAGCAAGCAUUAUCAGUGAGAAACUUGCUGCUUGUGUGAACAUAGUGCCUGGAAUUGAAUCUGUUUACUGGUGGGAGGGAAAGGUGCAAACCGAUGCUGAAGAGCUGCUCAUCAUCAAGACCAGAGAAUCUCUUCUAAACGCCUUGACUGAACAUGUGAAAGCUAACCAUGAGUACGAUGUUCCUGAAGUCAUCGCGCUGCCCAUCAGUGGAGGUAACCUCAAGUACUUGGAGUGGCUCAAGGACAGCACCAGGGAGAAGUGA